rnacentral:rRNA from 1 species
AGGACGAACGCUGGCGGCGUGCUUAACACAUGCAAGUCGAACGGAAAGGCCCGCUUGCGGGUACUCGAGUGGCGAACGGGUGAGUAACACGUGGGCAACCUGCCCUCAGCUUCGGGAUAACACUUGGAAACAGGUGCUAAUACCGGAUAAUAACUUUUCAUCGCAUGGUGGAUGGUUCAAAGUUUUUCGGCUGAGGAUGGGCCCGCGGCCUAUCCAGCUUGUUGGUGGGUAAUGGCCUACCAAGGCGACGACGGGUA